AAACCUUGUUGCGGGCACUUUCUUAGGAGCUCUUUGAACUUUUCCCAGGUCUCAAAUAUAGACUCCAAUUUUGACUGUACAUAGGAUGUGAUCUCAUUCCUAAGCUU